UACGUAGGGGGCAAGCGUUGUCCGGAAUCAUUGGGCGUAAAGCGCGUGUAGGCGGCCCGGUAAGUCCGCUGUGAAAGUCGGGGGCUCAACCCUCGAAUGCCGGUGGAUACUGUCGGGCUAGAGUGCGGGAGAGGCGAGUGGAAUUCCUGGUGUAGCGGUGAAAUGCGUAGAGAUGUGGAGGAACACCAGUGGCGAAGGCGACUCUUUGGCCUGUAACUGACGCUGAGGCGCGAAAGCGUGGGGAGCAAACAGG
rnacentral:rRNA from 1 species